GCCCGGGUGGUGAAAUAGGUAGACACAAGGGAUUUAAAAUCCCUCGAACGCAAGUUCGUGCCGGUUCAAGUCCGGCCCCGGGCACCA
rnacentral:tRNA from 2 species